GAUGAACGCUGGCGGCGUGCCUAAUACAUGCAAGUCGAGCGAACAGACGAGGAGCUUGCUCCUCUGACGUUAGCGGCGGACGGGUGAGUAACACGUGGAUAACCUACCUAUAAGACUGGGAUAACUUCGGGAAACCGGAGCUAAUACCGGAUAAUAUAUUGAACCGCAUUGUUCAAUAGUGAAAGACGGUUUUGCUGUCACUUAUAGAUGGAUCCGCGCCGCAUUAGCUAGUUGGUAAGGUAACGGCUUACCAAGGCGACGAUGCGUAGCCGACCUGAGAGGGUGAUCGGCCACACUGGAACUGAGACACGGUCCAGACUCCUACGGGAGGCAGCAGUAGGGAAUCUUCCGCAAUGGGCGAAAGCCUGACGGAGCAACGCAGCGUGAGUGAUGAAGGUCUUCGGAUCGUAAAACUCUGUUAUUAGGGAAGAACAAAUGUGUAAGUAACUAUGCACGUCUUGACGGUACCUAAUCAGAAAGCCACGGCUAACUACGUG
rnacentral:rRNA from 1 species